rnacentral:rRNA from 1 species
CGAUUCUGGCUCAGGAUGAACGCUAGCGGCAGGCUUAACACAUGCAAGUCGAGGGGCAGCGGGAUGUAGCAAUACAUUGCCGGCGACCGGCGGAUGGGUGCGUAACGCGUAUGCAACCUACCUUAUACAGGGGAAUAACCUUUCGAAAGGGAGACUAACACCCCAUAGUAUUGAUUUAAGGCAUCUUAGAUUAAUUAAAUAUUAUAGGUAUAAGAUGGGCAUGCGUAUGAUUAGCUAGUUGGUAAGGUAGCGGCUUACCAAGGCGACGAUCAUUAGGGGUUCUGAGAGGAAGGUCCCCCACACUGGUACUGAGACACGGACCAGACUCCUACGGGAGGCAGCAGUGAGGAAUAUUGGUCAAUGGGCGCAAGCCUGAACCAGCCAUGCCGCGUGCAGGAAAGACGGCCUUAUGGGUUGUAAACUGCUUUACAUAAGACUAACCGUAUAUUUGCGAAUAUACCUGAAUGUAUUAUGAGAAUAAGGAUCGGCUAACUCCGUGCCAGCAGCCGC